CUCCGCCCAUACAACAUGGCCGGUCUAACCAUAGCUCUAUAAAAUUUCCCCUUGAGUUUCUGUGGAACUUUCUUGUCAUACAGGACUCCUAAUGCAAGCCUCCACUUUGACCACCCCGCUCCUAUACGAUGAGUGACGUCCCCGUCAAUCUCUCCAUCUCCCUGAAUCACCGACCCAAGAUAACGGACUCUGUCCUUCUUGGUGAUGAUCUGAGAGCCAAUCAUCACGUCCCUCCCUACUU
rnacentral:lncRNA from 1 species